CUACGGGUCGCUGCAGUGAGGAAUUUUGCGCAAUGGGGGAAACCCUGACGCAGCAACGCCGCGUGAGCGAAGAAGGCCCUUGGGUCGUAAAGCUCUGUCAAGUGGGAAAAAAAUCUUUUGAUCAAUAGUCAAAAGACUUGAUGGUACCACUGGAGGAAGCACCGGCUAACUCCGUGCCAGCAGCCGCGGUAAUACGGAGGGUGCAAGCGUUGUUCGGAAUUACUGGGCGUAAAGGGCGUGCAGGCGGUUUGGCAAGUCAGAUGUGAAAGCCCUGGGCUUAACCCGGGAAGUGCAUUUGAAACUGCCUUUCUUGAGUAUGGGAGAGGAGAGUGGAAUUCCCAGUGUAGAGGUGAAAUUCGUAGAUAUUGGGAGGAACACCCGUGGCGAAGGCGACCCUCUGGACCAAUACUGACGCUGAGACGCGAAAGCGUGGGGAGCAAACAGGAUUAGAUACCCUCGUAGUC
rnacentral:rRNA from 1 species